UCCGGCAUAGCUCAGCGGUAGAGUAGGUGGCUGUUAACCACUUGGUCGUAGGUUCGAAUCCUACUGUCGGAGCCA
rnacentral:tRNA from 1 species